rnacentral:tRNA from 1 species
CACCCGUAGCACAAGGACAGUGCGCCCGGUCUCCAAAACCGGGAGGUGUCGGUUCGAGCCCGACCGGGUGUG